rfam:Clostridiales bacterium GWD2_32_19 gwd2_scaffold_366, whole genome shotgun sequence.
GGGGAUGUAAAGGUUUCGACAGGGAUUGUGGAGCUUGGAGUAGCUAUUCGUAGUUAGUGGAUCUACGUUAAAAACUGCUACCUAAAUUUAAACGCAGACAAUAAUUUAGCAUACGCAGCCUAAUUAGGCGUGUAUCGUUUUACUCUUACAGUCUCGCAGUUUGAGAUAAAGCGUCGGUUAAGCGAGGAACUAAAACUUAUCUUCUCGAAUAAGUUUUAAGAUUUAGAGAUACUUUUGACUUAAGUCCGUCUUUAGACGUAGGGCAAAGGGAAGCUUAAAUUAAAGACUAUAAUAGUAGAAGCUCUCUGUAACAGAUCUUUGGACGCGGGUUCGAUACCCGCCAUCUCCAUAA